rnacentral:rRNA from 1 species
GCAAGUCGAGCGCACCUUCGGGUGAGCUGCGGACAGGUUAGUAACGCGUGGGGAGUUACUCUUUUGUACGGAAUAGCCAUUGGAAACGAUGAGUAAUACCGUAUACGCCCUUCGAGGUAAAGAUUUAUCGGACAAGGAUCGGCCCGCGUUAGAUUAGAUAGUUGGUGGGGUAAUGGCCUACCAAGGCUACGAUCUAUAGCUGGUUUGAGAGGAUGAGC